rnacentral:rRNA from 1 species
AGGACGAACGCUGGCGGCGUGCUUAACACAUGCAAGUCGAACGGUAAGGCCCCUUCGGGGGUACACGAGUGGCGAACGGGUGAGUAACACGUGAGCAACCUGCCCUUGACUCUGGAAUAACAGUUGGAAACAGCUGCUAAUACCGGAUAUGACACAUGCAUUCCUGUGCGUGUGUGGAAAGUUUUUCGGUCAAGGAUGGGCUCGCGGCCUAUCAGCUAGUUGGUGAGGUAAUGGCUCACCAAGGCUUCGACGGGUAGCCGGCCUGAGAGGGCGACCGGCCACACUGGGACUGAGAUACGGCCCAGACUCCUACGGGGGGCAGCAGUGGGGAAUAUUGCACAAUGGGCGGAAGCCUGAUGCAGCAACGCCGCGUGCGGGAUGACGGCCUUCGGGUUGUAAACCGCUUUCAGUUCCGACGAAGCGAAAGUGACGGUAGGAACAGAAGAAGGACCGGCCAACUACGUGCCAGCAGCCGCGGUGAUACGUAGGGUCCGAGCGUUGUCCGGAAUUAUUGGGCGUAAAGGGCUUGUAGGCGGUUUGUCGCGUCGGAAGUGAAAACUCAGGGCUUAACCCUGAGCGUGCUUUUGAUACGGGCUGACUAGAGGGAUGCAGGGGAGAACGGAAUUCCUGGUGGAGCGGUGGAAUGCGCAGAUAUCAGGAGGAACACCGGUGGCGAAGGCGGUUCUCUGGGCAUUACCUGACGCUGAGAAGCGAAAGCGUGGGGAGCACACAGGCUUAGAUACCCUGGUAGUCCACGCCGUAAACGGUGGGCACUAGGUGUGGGGGACAUUCCACGUUCUCCGUGCCGAAGCUAACGCAUUAAGUGCCCCGCCUGGGGAGUACGGCCGCAAGGCUAAAACUCAAAGGAAUUGACGGGGGCCCGCACAAGCGGCGGAGCAUGCGGAUUAAUUCGAUGCAACGCGAAGAAUCUUUACCUGGGUUUGACAUAUGCCGGAAAGCUGCAGAGAUGUAGCUCUCGCAAGGUCGGUAUACAGGUGGUGCAUGGCUGUCGUCAGCUC